rnacentral:rRNA from 1 species
AUGCAGGGCAUGGCGUUGGUGAUUCAACAUACCACUUUACCUAUCAUAAUUCAGUCGGACUCGUCGGUAGCCUUGUCAAGCCUGUUGAACACUUCUUUGGUUAGGUCGGCCUAUGGCCAGUUAAUCCUUGAGAUUAAGGAUCUUUUUGGUAGUAGGGAGUUUGUGCCUCAGAAAAUUAGUCGGUGUCAAAAUAGAGUUGCCGAUCGGUUGGCCUAUUAUAGCCGGUCUGAGCGGGCUACGGCUGCGUGGCUUGGCUCAGUUCCACCUUGUAUUGAGGAUUUGUGGCCUCUUGACUGUAACUCUUUGAAUUUGCAAUAA